GUCAGGAUGGCCGAGUGGUCUAAGGCGCCAGACUCAAGUUCUGGUCUUCGUGAGAAGGGCGUGGGUUCAAAUCCCACUUCUGACA